UGCAGUCGAACGAGUUCUGAUUAUUGAAAGGUGCUUGCAUCUUGAUUUAAUUUUGAACGAGUGGCGGACGGGUGAGUAACACGUGGGUAACCUGCCCUUAAGUGGGGGAUAACAUUUGGAAACAGAUGCUAAUACCGCAUAAAUCCAAGAACCGCAUGGUUCUUGGCUGAAAGAUGGCGUAAGCUAUCGCUUUUGGAUGGACCCGCGGCGUAUUAGCUAGUUGGUGAGGUAACGGCUCACCAAGGCAAUGAUACGUAGCCGAACUGAGAGGUUGAUCGGCCACAUUGGGACUGAGACACGGCCCAAACUCCUACGGGAGGCAGCAGUAGGGAAUCUUCCACAAUGGACGCAAGUCUGAUGGAGCAACGCCGCGUGAGUGAAGAAGGCUUUCGGGUCGUAAAACUCUGUUGUUGGAGAAGAAUGGUCGGCAGAGUAACUGUUGUCGGCGUGACGGUAUCCAACCAGAAAGCCACGGCUAACUACGUGCCAGCACG
rnacentral:rRNA from 2 species